GUGAAUCAUCGAAUCUUUGAACGCACCUUGCACCCCUUGGUAUUCCGAGGGGUAUGCCUGUUCGAGCGUCAUGAAACUCUCAAACCGUGACUUCAUCGUCACGGGUUUGGAUUUGGACGUUGCUGGACGUUCUCGUUCGGCUCGUCUCAAACGCAUUAGCUGGCUCUAUCGACCUCAGUUAAUCGGCGUGAUAAUCACAUCUACGUCGAAAGCCGUGAGGCUGCUGGGAUCGAUCAUGGGAGCAGGCUCAUAAUCGUCUCGGGACAAUUCCUUCAUGUUUGGCCUCGAAUCAGGUAGGACUACCCGCUGAACUUAAGCAUAUCAAUAAGCGGAGGA
rnacentral:misc_RNA from 1 species